UUUCUUCACGUUGGUGUAGUAAUAGUUAGUGUAUCAAGACACAGUGAUAACAGCUCACUUAGAUGUCUUUCCAAAAAGAAUGAGCAAAUCUCCUUUGGGGGAUAGAUCUAGGUGGAUGGUUAAGUCCAGUUGUGGCAUUUGCCCAUUCAUUUAGAGCCUGUCUGUACAGUGGGAAAAGAAAGGGUUAAAAAUGUAGACCAAUAGGAAAGCUGGAGGCAGAGCCUACAUGUGUAUAAAAGGGCUUAGCCUGAGGUUUGUUAGAGUUGUUGGUGGGUAGUGGGUUGGUUUUAGUGGGUUGGCUGGUUGGGAAAGGCAGUUGGAGAAGCAGUUGGCAGGCAGUUGGAAAUAGAGAGACAGUUAGGGCAGUGGGUUCUUGAGUGUGGCGAGGUAGAAGAGAUAGAGAGAAGAAAAUAAGACUAAGAAAGUAAAGAGUAACAACUUUUGGAAUGCCGUAAAAGUUUGUUUGAGUCUGAAAUAAAAUACACUCUCUUUUAUUAACUUGAGAAUCCAACUGAGACGGAAGUGAUUUUACCGGGGAGGACCUGGUUGGUGGCAGCGAAUUAGUGGUGUACGGGUCAAUAGUCCAUGAGACGACGGGGGGCUCCAUAUGAACACCACACCAGUCAAAGGCAACUAUGGGGUUGCAGCGCUCAUCUCGCUUUCAGGCUGAGGGGGUCGGCAUUUGUCCACAGACAGCUUUUACAGAUCAUUUGCCAGCAUGACUAAACUACUUCUGGCGCAACAGGAUGCUGUGAUGGAAACCAGAAUGCAUGGAAAUGCCUUUUACCUUCCCACCACAGCAGUACCUAUUUAACUACUUGCGCUGGUGUGCUUUCGAACUGCUAGGUUGGCAGGAGCUGGGACAAAGUGGGUGGUGCUUUGAUCUAAACCACGGAGCCCCUGGGACUUGCCAAUCAGAAGGCUGGCAGUUUGAAUCCCUGUGAUGGGGUGAGCUCCCGUUGCUCUUGGAUAGAGCUAUCCAUAGCUGUGAGUUGUGAUGGCUAACAAUGAAUAUGAGGGUGCACAGAUGGAUGGUUGGGCUCCGAGUCACUCUGAGCCAGAAUGCAGAGGUACAAUUUUUGUACUUCUCUGGGCCUGGGCCCUUUGGGGGGCCAAACUAGUCAACUCCUAGGUACGCUGUAUGCAUUCAUCUCCCAAUACUGAUAGGCACCACCAAAGUGGUACAAACCAGCCCAAGCAGGAAGCGGAUCAUAAAACAAACUAUGCACAUGCCUAUACAGCAAGUGUGAUUUCAGAGGGUCUGCUCAAUGUUGUGCCUUAAGAGGACUGGUCUGUCAAAAUGUGCCAUUUGCAGAAGACAACUUUGCCUUUAGAUGAGUUAGUUCGCACCCUGCAAGUGCUUCAAAUGAAAGCAUAAAAACAUGCCGCAAUACAGAGGUGACCUUGGGCUUUUUCAUUAUUAUUUAUUGUGAUCUCUCUAGGCAUCCUUAUUUAGUAGUUAUGAAGGUUUUACUAGUGCACUGUGAACCACUGUAUAUUCCGGUGAGACAAUUUGCUUGCAGUUCAAAUUAGGUUUCAAUUUGGGUUCCUCGCGUCAUAUUUUCUCCUGGUAAUUCGAGAUGGCAUAUUCUUUUACCACAAACGAGGAGAAAGCAGUUUAUAAAUUUAAGCAAGUUACAGCCCUUCGAGCCCUUUCCUAUAUACUUCAGUUCUCAUUUCCUUUUCAUAAUAUUUUCCCCACUCUCCGUGAGCUCUGGAGUUAUCGAACAUUGUAAAGGUCUAGCUGGAUGCUGAAACUGCAGGAGCCUUACAUUGGACUAUGAGAUGAUGACAGUAAAAACCAAAGGUGACACAUCACAGAGUCAGCCUCAUUUGACCAUGAUCUUGCUACAUGGAGACCAGGUGUAAUGUGGUGGCUUCUACACAGGGAAGAGCUUCUAUAGGAAAUUAAAUCAGGGACCUUCAAAAGCACAUGUUACUAUAGCAUGGUGAGAAGAUGUAUUCUGCGGUUAAAUAUACAUCUUGCAUAAGUCGGUCAUCUUCUGCCAAUGAUCACCAAAUUUGAACACAUGUGGCCCUCCAGAUGUUGCUGGACUACAACUCUAGCCAACAAUGACACCACCAGCCAUUGUUUAUUCUGUCUGUGAGGCGUUCACAAAGUAAAGGAAGGAUUGAACUCUGAUUAAUAAGAAUACACACAGAGGCUUGAACCAGCAAGACUCUGGGAAGGGUGCGUAUAAUAGUCUCUCUCUGUCUGUCUCUCUCCAGCCCCUGGCCCAGGUCGUUUUAUUCACAAAAGAACUUUUUACAGAGUGUUCGUAAGAACCACUCAGAUUACUUCUAAGCAUUUCAACAAACCCACAUGGGGACAAGUUAAACUACUAAAACUAAUUAAGCACAAAUAUUUCUGGGGUAAACAAAGAACAGAACUACAAAGGAGGACAUUCGGCAACCCUGGAGGUGAUAAACAAGCAGUAUACAUGAUAAGGAGGAUGGUCAGGAGGACAGCGAUCAUUAUCACCUUCAUGUGAGAUCUGUUUACUGGCCCUAAAAUUAACAUCCUAAGAUUAACAUAUUAGAAAGCUACUUCAAAGAAACUUGCCCACUAUCUUUGAUGAUCCAGGAUGCCUGCCUGGCGAAGCAACUGGCAGUGUAUGUGACUUGUGAAGAAAGAGAAAUGGAACAGGGAUGCAGAGGUGUAGAUUGACCAAGAAUCAUAUCAAAAUAGUUUAAACCCAGUCAACACAAUGCUUUCAUUGCUGACACAGAUGGCUUACUCUAUAUUUGUUAUAAUUCCUCAUAGCAAUCCCACCUGAUCACUACAUGUCUGGGGCUGCUAGGAGUUGUAGUCCAACAACAUCUGGAUGGCCACAGGUUCCCCAGUCCUGCCAAAGGGAUUGCAGUGGCACGAGAAGUUCAAGAGACUGCACUGUAUUUCCCAUCAGCACCAUGCAGCAGAGAAAAGUUUCAUGCAGAAGCAGUUCCCUCUAGCAGAUAUUUCAUCUCUUAUUUUUUCAUACAUAGAUUUAAUUUUUUACUUUGGAUUUAGCAGCAGUCUCCGUGACUCCAUCCACCCUAGUAUUUAAAACAGAUGUAGUCAUUUUGCCUGGGGAAGCUUAUUUUCUUCAUCAGAUGAAAGGUGUUAGUCAUUAUUUUAUCUCGCAGCAUGGAUGGAAGUCUGUGCUCCUCCCUGCCCAACCGCUGUUUGCCUUCUUUCGUUUCAUUAAAAUGCAUUUAUAACUGGAAUUUUACCGGGUGUCAUUCAACAGAUUAAAUAGAAUCGGUGAUACCUGCAUCAGACAAAAUGAAAUCUGUCAGCUCGUCUGGAUAGGAUUAGCAGUUAAUGAUUUUUAUCAGACACCGUCAUCAGAAGUGACGUUUGUUAGGACAUGACAGCACAAAAAUGGAGAACGUCGCUGGUCUCAAUCAGACAGAUAUCUUACAGGCACCCAUUUGUUGUUUAUAAGUCUCUGCAAAUAUGGUGAUUUAUGCUGCUUUACAUGGGCAGGUUAUUGACACUGAGAUCAGAGUUUGUUGGUGAUGGUGCUCAUUCAUUAUCAUUACCAUGGAAAAAUAUUAGGGUAAUUUUGACCAAUAAAAUAAACCUAAGUUUGCAGGUAGGAAGUAAAUGACCUUACAGUGCAUCUUCUGUUGCAGAUAUUAAUAUUGUGCAGUUUCAAGCAACUGGAAGCAUAAGAACUGACUCCUUUAGGAAGAAAUAAUUGUAGAGGACCAUAAAAAUAUCAUUUAAAGUUGAAGAAGAAGAAGAAGAGUUUGGAUUUGAUAUCCCGCUUUAUCACUACCUGAAGGAGUCUCAAAGCAGCUAACAUUCUCCUUUUUCUUCCUCCCCCACAACAAACACUCUGUGAGGUGAGUGAGGCUGGGAGACUUCAAAGAAGUGUGACUGGCCCAAGGUCACCCAGCAGCUGCAUGUGGAGGAGCGGAGACACGAACCCGGUUCACCAGAUUACAAGUCUACUGCUCUUAACCACUACACCACACUGGCUCUACCACCACACAGUGGUAGAACUCUUCAAAAACAGAACAUAAGCAUCAAAGAUACAUCAAAAAUAUCCAUAUAGUAUAUCGUGCUGUCCAGCAAAGGCUCAGCUUAGAAAAUAUGAAAUAAUACAAACAGACCUUUAAGCAGACAUCUUUCUCUUUAAUAGCAUUCAUUUCCAUGGAACUGUUUUGCUUGAGAGCUUCAUUUACAUCCUUCUGUUCUGUGUCCCAUUCAGAGAAAGACACUCAGCCACCACCCUUUCAAGAUGGCAAAUUUGCAACUCAGUACCUUUGUCACCUGAUCUAAGGUUACAACAGCUUAGCAGGCUUCCUCAAACUCAGCCCUCCAGAUGUUUUGAGACUACAAUUCCCAUCAUCCUUGACUGCUGGUCCUGCUAGCUAGGGAUCAUGGGAGUUGUAGUCCCAAAACAGCUGGAGGGGCAAGUUUGAGGAAGCCUGGUUUAGAGUAACAGAAAGCAAUCAGCAUUUAUUCAGUAACCUAUUGAGGAGCCCAGAGUCCUUUAGAAAACAAUGGAGGAAAACCCCAUUGUUCCAUUUUAAAACUUCAUUAAUACACAUACAUUUUCAUUCCUUUGUGAAUUUUACUUAACACAGUUAAUUAAAUCAAUUAUACUUAACAUCUUCCAGUCUUAAGCAGACUUGCAAGAAAAUCCAUGAAGUUACGAGUGCACAAGCAGUUUUAAUGGUUCAUCUGUAUCUCCUUCUUGACCAGGGACUCAGCUACACAAGUAAAGAAAAAGUGUUUUAAAUGCAUUAUAACACUGUGAAACCAGAUGGCGCUAUGGACUUCCAUCUGUCAGCAACAUGAUUUCUCAUUAUGAGAUUUACAAUGUGUUUUCCUGAAACUUUUUUUUUUUUAAAUGUGUCUAGAUCCAGCCUAGGAGAAUCCAAUAAGUGGAUGAAGUUUAUUUGGGGUCUGUAGAAGCUGAGAAGCUACCUGACUGCAGUUCUCCAUCUACAAUGCACCAUAUUUAAUUUGGCAAGAGCACUGUCACAGAAAAGGGGCCCAAUGAGGGGCAGACAGGGUGAUCCAACUUGUUUAUCCCUCUCUCCAACGAUAUUUUUUCCAUCACUUACAAUAAUGCGGUAUGUCUCUGGAACAGAAUGAUGGUGACACUUUUAUAUAAUCGAUUUAUAAUUUCUUUAUGGCAAGCCAUGUUAUGGGAAAUAAAUUACAUAUGGGAUGAUGCACUCAAAUUCCCUCAUUAUUGAACGCUCAUCACAAGGUUCCACAUGCAGAGUCAUCAACAUUUAUAUUACGACAUACUAAUCGCUAAGUGAUUAUAUUAACAAAAAGGGAAUGCUGAUUGUUCCCGUGGGGGUAAGGAUGCAAUCACACACCCUGUUUUGCAUUGAAUAAAAUGAUCAAAGGGUUCAGUUUUUGUUUUAUCUUUGAAUGAUUGACAUACACUGAAGUAUUGUGGCAGCAGAUUGAAUAUUAAAGGGAAUGUGCGGUUUGUAAAAUAAUAGGUAUCAAACGACUUUACUCGCAGCGAAGGAAAUGGAUUCAAAUUUGAUGUCAUUUUAGAAAUUGCAGAGAUACUGUGAGGAGGGAUUAGAUUUUAGAUCAGUGUAUACAAUAGUCUUUGGAUGGAGUAUAAUAGGUGCUCUGAUGUUAGGACUGACACAAUAAACCUUAAAGUGAGAUUAAGGGCUUUAUUCUUUAUUUUUAUUUUUUUCUGGAGAAGAACCAGGAUUGUGAAUUACAGCCCAGAUGUUUUGAAUCAAGUUGUCAACAAGACAACUUGCCUUUUCUCUUUCUGUGUUCUCCACAUGGCAUGUUUUAGGUUUGCAGAAUAGCAGCAGGUUAGAUGGAGCAGAUAAGAGCGUCAGCAGCACAGAAAAGGAUUAAAGGCAUGUUUGAUGCAGACAAGCAACAUCCAGAGAAAAAAAAAGCUCUAAGGGAAUGCUAAGAGGAGAACAAUUAUCCUAUUAAUAUAACCAAGUAAAUGUUAACCUUGGCUACAGCUGCAGUUAAAAUUCAAUAUUAUUGAAUUUUCAGGUCAAAUAUUUGCAUCUCCUCAGUAUUUGAGCCAUGCAAUAUUUUGUUAUUACUGGCCAUAGCAUCUUGGAACAGGCUGCAAUGCAGAGCCUCAGAAGCGUCCUAUAGAUAUUGCACCACCUCGUAAGCACUGAUUUGUUAGAAACUUUCAUGCUAGAGGGAAUUGGGGCCGACUGACCCAUGAGGCAAAGUGAAGUGGUUGCCCAAGUAGAUCCAGCCCUCCAAGGAAUGCAAUCACCCACCGCUGCUGCAAAGUUUGUCAAAGCACGAGGAAGGAUGAGGAAAGACUUAAGGGAAAGGCAAAGAGGAAGGAGGAGACUUUGUGCUUCACAGUUGUUGUGCAGCAGCCCAGAGACUUUCAGGAGAGCACCCAUAUUGCCCUAUUCCCAUAUUCCUAGCUCUUAUAUCUGCAUAGUAUUGGGCAUGCCUUUUUUCACUGCCAAUACUAUACAGAUAUAUGAGCUGGGUUCCUCUGUCCUAUACUACAUACCGUAUUUUUCGCUCUAUAGGGUGCACCAGACCAUAGGGUGCACCUAGUUUUUUGGGGGGGGGGGAAUAAAGAAAAAAAAUUAUUCCCCCCCAUCCCCCAGAGAUCCUGCUCGCAGUCUUGGCUUCCUUUUUAGCCGCGGGGCUGGGAGUGGGGGAAACCCGAGCUUCCCCCAACCCCAGCCCCCAGAACGGGUCCGGGAGCAACGGCGAGGUUGCGCUCAACCUCGCCUUCGCUCCCGGAGCUUGCUGCUAUCAGGCUUGCGGAUAGCUUCCCGAAGCCCAGGGUGCGCAGCGCCGCACUCCCCAGGCUUCAGGCUGCAGGCAGCUAUCCGCAAGCCUGCAGAGCCCGGCGGGCACUCUCGCCGCACUCCGAAGCCUUGUGGAUAGCUUCUUGAAGCCUGGAGAGUGAGAGGGGUCGGUGCACACCGACCCCACUCACUCUCCAUGCUUCAGCGAAAUCCUGCAUUCACUCCAUAGGACGCACACACAUUUCCCCAUCAUUUUUGAACGGGAAAAAGUGCGUCCUAUAGAGCAAAAAAUACGGUAAAUUUCCAAGUUGCUCAGAACAACUUUAUAUCUCCCUGCUACUUCCAGAUGAAAACCAAGAUGUUAUGUACUCAGUUGCUUGAUUUUGAGCUGCCAUGAUGGAUAUUUGUCAAAGGAUGGUUAGCACCAUGAACUAGACCCCAAAUAUAAGAGUUGUGCUUCUUCAUGCUCCUUAUAAUUGCUUUAAACCUUUUUUCUACUUUUUUAAAGUUAUGUAUGAUAUAAUCACCUUUAACUACUACUUUUAAUCCCUUACCUGUAAUAAUAAUAAUAAUAAUAAUAAUAAUAAUAAUUUAUACCCCACCCAUCUGGCUGGGUUUCUCCAGCCACUCUGAGCGGCUUCCAAAAAAAUACUAAAAUACUGUAAUACAUCAAACAUUAAAAGCUUCCCUAAACAGGGCUGCCUUCAGAUGUCUUCUAAAAGUCUGGUAGUUGUUGUUCUCUUUGACAGCUGGUGGGAGGGCGUUCCACAGGGAGGGCGCCACUACUGAGAAGGCCUUCUGCCUGGUUCCCUGGUUUUAAGUCUUAUGUUCAGUUGAUCUGUAUGUUUUAUCGUAUGCUGGUCCUUGACAGAAAUAAAGUUUGAUACUAGGGUUGACAUAUUCCCCAAAGUGAAAAUCCGGACAUCUCUCCCCCAAAAAUUAAGUUUUGAGGCUUUUAUUGGAUUGUUUUAAAAAAUCACCCUACUUGCCAUACGUCUGGGUUUUCCUGUACAUUUUGCCGAUUCAGCAAAAAUCCGCUCAGGCGCAAUUUUGCCAGCCCGAUUCCCGGACGUAUGGCAGCCUAUUUGAUAUUGAACCCACUCUGUUGUGACACAGGCCUUCUGACACUUGUGAUGCUCUGCACCAACCACUGUAGUGCUGGUACCUUUUGCUUCGGGUGCCCAAACCUCCUGGGCCAGCCCUGAUCUCAACAAUAUAUAACGGUGAGAAGCCAGGCCACUCCUGUGACUCUUUCUCUCCUUCAACUGUGACCCAGCAGCAACUAUUCAGUUAGGCUGCAGAAGAGCAGAGGGAGAAAUGAGAAGCAGUCCUAUCGAUGGUUGGGACAAUCUUGUUUCCAGUGACUUGUAAACUGCUCUGCUCCUUUUCAAAUUGGAGAAAAAUGACUUUCACUGUGCAAGGGUAAGGGCCACGCUCCAUCCACUUUAGCUCUGGCAUAUGACACUCAGAAGGUUGUCCAUGAGGGGAUGUGGGCUUUGGGUAGAAAAAUGUCUCCCACCCCUGUCUUAGAAUACCAUGUCCGUUAUAAUAACCACACAAGGAAGUUGUUGCUCUGUACCAAUAUGGAUACAUGUUGGCUAUGUGAAUGGUGUAAGGUUACUAUAGUUUCUUGGUUAUGGUCUGGAACUAUCGUGUAAAAACUCAGAUCAUUUGUAACUCAUAACCUCCAGAAGGGCACAGGAUUAAUUGUGAUAGUUCCCUUCCAAGGACUCAUGGAUCUUACCAGAACUCUCUGAGGGAUUUAUUCAACGAUAUCAUUGAUCAUUCAGUCAGUGCCCUGGGACAUGAGAAAAAAUAGCCACUUAAAUAUUUCUAACAAAGCCUUUCCCACCACUUUGGUGAGGAUUCUUUAUUUGGGAUGAUGAGGAACACCAAGGAAGAAUGAACCUGGUUUGAAAAGCAUAUUGUGGCUUGCAGACAGAGAAUAAAUAAGAGUUUCCUGGUUCGGAUGGAAUGGGAAAUGGAUUUAAACAAACCAUAACAGAAGUGUCAGAGCUGGAAGAGGAGGAGGCAAGAGGCAACGAGCCCACGAGCAUGACACUAGACCUCUCUCAGCCUAACAAACCAUGGUUUGAAAUUAAUUAAUUAAUUAAUUAAUUAAUUAAUUUAAAAAAUUGUCCAGUAGCGCCUUAGAGACCAACUAAGUUUGUUCUGGGUAUAAGCUUUUGUGUGCAUGCAUAUACCCAGAACAAACUUAGUUGGUCUCUAAGGUACUACUGGAGAUUUUUUUUUAAAAAAAUAUUUAUUUAUUUUGAUUGCAUCUGACCAACACGGCUACCUACCUGAAAAUAAAACCAUGCUUUGUCAAGCCAAGAUUUUGCCAUCUGAAUUAGCCCAUAAAUUUAGUAGAUGGAGAAGCUGUAAAAGUCAUUAUGGAGUGUGGAUUGGGGGGCGGGGGCGGUUAAAAGUAGGGGCCAUGAAAUAAAAAGUUCAUGCUCAUUUAUAGUCUUUAUUCUACCAGUAGAAAUUAUUAGAGGCUUUUAUACUGCAUCAUGUACUCUGUUUUCUUACGACAUUUAUUUGCAUGUUAAUGUUUGCAUUCUUAUUUUAAGCUUGGUUGUUGGGCUGUCUGCGAUAUCUAGCCAAAUCACUGUUAGAGGAUACCCAUUGAAAUUGAUUUUGAUGGGUCUACUCUGAGGAAGACUUUGUUGGACACCAUUUAUACCCAAAUACUAUCAUCUCUAGUUUUUUUCUGGUGGCUCAAAUGCAACGUGUUAACCUUCUAUUUUGUAUGUAUUUCAGUGGAAUCUAUGAAUAUUAAUCACUUUCAUAAAAUUCUGCUGAUGAGCUAGGGUUUAUGGUCUGCUUCUUUUUUUUUAUUAAAAAAACCACAAUCUGGGUCCAUGACAAAUUUCUACAUUUCCUAGAUCCAAGUAUAAGAACAACGGAGUCACCUGCUUUGCUCGCCAUAACUGAUUAAUUCCAAGGUAAGCAGACAUGACAAAUGUUAUGCAAAUCUUUCUCUUUUGCUAAGAAAAGCAUUCUUAAUUAUAGGAGAGCUGGCUCUGGAAUUUUCCUUCUCCUCACAUCUAUGCAUAUUUUUGGGUGUGUGAUCCAUCAAUUUCAGGUUUUGACAGAAUCUAUGCUUCUCAUUAAAUAUAUGCUAGCAUUAAAAAGAGGUUCAUGUUUCUGGCAUUAAAACAAAAUUAUUCAGCAUCAAAAACUGUACUGAAUGCACUAUUAACAAACUUCAGGCUACGGUGAAUGGAAUGAGAAAUAGCAAUAUGUUUAAUAAGGACCUUAAUAGUUCAUUUGUCAACGUGUGCAUUCGGCUUUUCUUGUUCCGUGCUGUCUGGGGAAAAGACAAUUAUUAGCGUUUUAAAAAUAGUCAAGAGAAAUACCUUCAGGAGAUGCUUGUGUUUAACCACCUGUGUAAGACAGAAUUUGUGUUGGAUACUUGCUCUUCUGAUGUACAGCAACACAGGGAGUUGCUCAAUAUUGUCUACAUUGACUGACAAUUUCUUUGGCGAUCACUCAUAGCCGAGUAAGAUUGUCUUCCAUGAACACGGUUUUAACAGUGAGUCAGUGAGCGACAGUGGAGGCCAAUUCUGGAUCCACACAUCCUUCCACAGUGGGGACAUAGGUUGGGACUCCCCGGGUGGGAGUUGAUCAUGGUGAGGGUUUGCCAAGCGUGCCUUCCUCUUAGCAUGUUUCUCCCUCUCGUCCUGAGUUUGUGCUUCUUCAAAGUCCAUGAUGCCUUUGGUGCAGGGGCGGAGGAAGGGGUGUGUUGUGGGUGCGGGUCACCCAGGUGUCACCAUUGAGGGGGGGUGACAAAAUGCCGGGCAGCACUCACCUAGGGCCUGCAGCACAUCUGAGCCACACAUCUCUACUGCAAGAGAUGCAGUGGCUUGGGAGUGCAGGCUCCGUGCUGUCCAAAUGGUCCGCCCACUGCGUCCCUCCCCAGCUGUAAGGCGGCUGAGUGGGAGGAGGCAGGCAGACUCUGGAGGCCCUGCGAUGUGCCUUGCCACUAUGCGCCCUCGUGCUGCCCCAUGGGCGGCUCGUGCCACGCCUGGGCACGCUGCCCCAGGCGCCCUAGCAACUUCAUCCGCUACUGCUUUGGUGUAGAAUGUUCUCCAGUUGGAGCACUCGCAGGCCCCUGUUUCCCAGUUGUCGGUGUUUAUACUACAUUUUAAAAAAGAUUUGCCUUGAGAGAGUCACUGACAAUUCACCAGGAUUUCAGACAAGUACCUUUUACAGCCCUGCAUUUAGAUGCCAACCUGCAACUAUUUUCAUGCAAAACAUGGCUCCUGCCACUGAGGAACAGCCCCUUCCUUAGGACUUUAUUCUAAGUCUUCAAGAAGACUUAAAGCACAAUCCAAUCCCCCAAUCCUCCAUGGGGUGAAGCUAGCCCAGAACAGCUGUGCUAGUCUCCUCCCACUGCAUGAUGCUAGCCCAGAGCUCCUUGUCCCAUACACAAUAAAAUUUGAGGCAGGCCUGUGGCAAAUGGUGGGAUGGCUCAGUCAAUGGAGCAUGCACAUCUUAACCUCAGGGCUGUGGGUUCAAGCCCCAUGUUGGGCAAAAGAUUCCUUCCUUGCAGGGGGUGGACUAGUUGGUGCUCAGUGGCUCAUUUGCUUCUGGCUUGCACUCUUUAUAAAGAUUUGAGGAAUGAGGUUAUAACCCCUCUAUUAUUGUCCAUGCCGGGUCGCUCAACGAUUGCUAGUGUGUCUUUUCUUUUAGCAGAUCAAGAUGACCAGGUGACAGCAAAAACUGCAAAGUUUUUAGCGGGGGCAGUUAGAAUGAGAUCUGUUAUUUGAUUAUUGAUGUAAACCCCCUAAAUGUAUUUUUUAUAGUUAUGUUUUUACCUCUAUUUUAGUACAUUUUAUUUUAUUUUAUUACUAUGGCUAGUGGCUGAUGCAAAUAAAUAUUAAGAUCUUUAAGAUGGUCCUUGGUCUCCUUUCCAACUCUACAGUUCUUUGGUUCUAUGGUUUUAUGAGUUUAUGCAAAUUAGGCUUUCCAUAUUCCUAAAGCCCAAAACCCAGACACCCCCCAUACACAUUCCCCACCACCAUCUCACAUCUCCAUUGCUUGCCUUACAUUUGCUUCGGCCUCCUGCUCACAAACAAUGUGAGGUGCAAAAUGCCUAGCCCUGCUUCUUCUCUUUCUUUUCCUUUUUAACUUUUUAAAAAUGAUUUUCAAUUUUAUACAUUUCAAUAAUUCUACAAUCAUUUUAACAUUUUAAAACUCAACUUCCUUCUCCCUCAUUCUGCCAUUCCUUAAAUUAUUAUUUUAAUAUUUUCUGCAUAUACCAAAUUAACUUAACUUUAUUCAUCUAAAUAUAUACUCUUAUAAAAAAAACCUGCAGGUUAUUACAAUAAUUCUGCCAGUGUUCUUACCUGUUUACAAUAAGCCAUUUCCAUUCUUUUAUGAAAAGUUUGUUAUCUUGAUUUCUUAUUUCUCUGGUAAAUUUCUCCAUUUCUGCGUAUUCCAUAAGUUUUUGUAUACAUUCUUCAUUCGUUGGGACUUCUUCUUCAUUCCAUUUUUGGGCAAGUAACAUUCUUGCCACUGUAGUCACAUACAUGAAAAAAUUUCUAUACAGUUUGGGUAGUUUGGGUAGUUCUGCCCCUAUAAUUCCCGAAAGGAAAGCUUCUGUUGCUGCUGUUUUACAAAUGUUAUUUUAAACAUCUUUUUCAAUUCGUUUCUUGGUUCGUCCCUAGUCUGCUUGGCAACUGGAUCACUCUCUCUCCUGGCUGCCGAGCAAACUAGGGGCGAGCCAAGAGGAAGAAAGCCCAGCGCCUUGCUGGGAAAGGACCUGACUUCUGCCACUGCCACCAAAGGCCGUCUGGCAAGCCUGCUGCGUGCACCGAUUUGUGGAGACCCUUUGCAAUCUGGUGCAUGCACCAGACUAGCCAGAUGGUCCUUGGCGGCAGCUCCUCCUCUGGCGAGGCAUUGGAGUUGCCAUACGUCCAGGUUUUCCCUGACAUUUUUUAUGAUUUCCAGAAAUUCCGCCCGGACACUUUUUUUUGUCAGACAGAUCCCAGACAUGUCCGGGGAAACCUGGACGUAUGGCAGCCCCAUGAAAAUGGGGUAUUCUGUGGAAAAAAUGGGGAAGGGGCUAAGCUAGCCUGAAAUCUGCUGGCUCCAAAGCCAGUCCCUCGGAUAUUAAUUCACAACAUUGGGCCCAGUCACUGCACCAACUCUAGGCUGAGUUCCCCAGAGUAUUUUGCUUGCCCUUGUGCCCUGGCAAGCAUGGGCCAUGGGGCUGCAGAUAUAGCAGGGUCCAUGCCAUUCUGUCAUACCCCAUGGUUGCCUGGUCCAGCUUUGGAUUCCCCAGCCAUAUAAUUCUUAGAAUAACUCAUCCCUUGUAAAACAAACAUUGCUCUGAUUCUAUUUCAGAGGGAGAAUAGAAUGAGAAACAGCUCGGAUGGUAUUAGCUAAGUUUUACUCAGAGUAGGCACAUAGAAAUUAAUGGAUACGGCUUAGGUCCAUUAAUUUUAAUAGAUGCACACUGACUAAAACUUAAAUGCUACCCCUGAACUACAAUUCGGGUGAGCUGCUCCGUAGCUGAAUCAAGACAAAGGAUUUUGAAGCACAUUACAGGGGUUAAUUAGCUUAUCAAUGCCAUGAUAUUUGUGCAAUUGAUGACGGCUCCUUGCAAAUUGUUCUCUGCCCCACCACAGGUAUUAAUGCACUAAUCUUGGCAAUGCUGAAUAAAUUAUCACCACUUUGCUACGGGAAAAGGUUAAAAGUGUGCCUAUUUAACCUACAAUUAAGUUCUAAUUAUCACUGACUGUAUUAUUUAAAAGCGCAUCAUGGGCACGGAACAGGUGUAGGGAACUUUUGUUGUAUUGCAGCUUCCAUUAGUCCCAGCAAGCAUAAUGGAAGGCCUGGGAUGAUGGGAGUUACAGUUCAGAAACAUAUCAAAGGGUCCCCACACCCGAUACAGAGGAUUUCUCCUUAGGAGCAUAAGUUCAUCAUAGAGUUGACAUUUACCUUCAAGAAUCUGAGCUCUUUGUUUCAAAGCCUAAUCAAUAGGGCCGCCAGAUGAUUGGAUUUUCCUGGACAUUACCGGAAUUGACGUCUGGGGGGGAUUUCUGAAAGGUGGCACUCCUUUGUCCUGGAUCUUAGGCAAGUUAAUUGAAAAAUUUGGAGUUUUCCUAUUUUUUUAAAAAAAGCAGCUCAACCAUUUUGGGGUCUUCCUUAAAAAAUAUUUCAACAACUUUCAAAGUGUCCUGGUUUUUACUUUCCGAAAUAUGGCAACCCUAACUUAAAGCAAAAUAUGAAGACAAGAAAGCGUGCAAGAUUAUACACUGCUGCCAGUACAGUGUUUUUUCCCUGUUGCUUUUGAAGCAGGAUCACAAGCUGAACUUGAAUCUCACUCAAAGCCUGAUUCCCUCUAUUUCUGAUAUUCAGACUAGGUCAAAUGGCACUGUUAUUGGCCAGAGCAGUUAACAGUGGGUCUCGGUUUCAGGAAGAUAGGAGGGCAUAGGGAACUCUCCUGUGAUGAGUCUUUCCAACAUCACAUUUAAACCAACAGCUCUAAUACAUUUUCAUAAUAGGUGUCUUUGAAGACUAGAGUUAUAAACCUGGCAUUUUCUAACAUGUCAUUCAUUCAACAGAAGUGACUAGGAGUGACCUGGAUUACUGCUAGAUAAGCCAAAGAUAAUACGGUAUUUAAUCACUAACAAUAUUGCUUUUUGUGGAACUAAUACUGGCUCACCAGGAGUUUCAAGAAGGGAAAAAUACUGCAAACCGAGUCAGAUAAUUUGUUCAUACAGUCCCAUUCUUUUCUACUCCAAUGGGCAACGGCUCUCUAAUAUUUUUAGCAGAAGUCUUUGCCAGCCCUGAUAUUUGAGUUUACUUUAACGUUAAGCUGUAAGAUAUUCACCUGAGAAUGUGUAUGUAUUUGUGCUGUGUGCAAAUGGAUUCUUGCGGUUCUCCAUCACCAUUGGGGGAAAAAGAAAUUGGGGGCAGGAGGAAUUUCAGCAGACUUCCCCAGAGGGAUUGGCAGCUUCCGAUUGCCAGAAAUGACACCUCGACAAAAAGUGGUUGCUUCGGUUUAUGUGGCAUAAUACCAAAUGGCUUUCAGAUCUAAAAAAGAAGCAGAAGCAGAAGCAGAAAAAAGGCAUGGCUACAAAAUGGCACAGGCAGUGUUUUUUUUCCUUUAAAAAAACGUUUAGGGGUACUCCCAUUUUGACUCAAUAAAAUCACCAUUUUAGAGUUCAAAUUGGGAAAAAUGAAUACAGGAAAUGGACAAAAGUACAAAGAUUCACAAAAUGUUUAGGGGUAUGCGUCCGCCCAGAAAAAAGCACUGGGUGCAGGCAUGCCCACACUUCAACCUUCCAUCAAAGGGGGUGUCACCCAACACUGUACUUCUACGCUCCUUCACAGAGAGAAACACUUUGCACUUCUCCCCUGUCCAGAAUGGAAGAGCAGGUUGGCAGCCCACACUGGCAUGCAAUGAAAUGUGGAUAUAUUUAAGGAUAUGGGUUCGGGAGGGGAGAAUCUGAGCCAAAUAAUCUCUCGUGCAUUGUGAGUUUUUGAGGUGAGACCUUGUAUAGGAUGUAAGGUAAAGGUAAAAGGUAAAGGACCCCUGGACGGUUAAGUUCAGUCGAAUUUGACUAUGGGGUGUGGCGCUUAUCUCACUUUCAGGCCAAGGGAGUUGACGUUUGUCCCCAGAGAGCUUUCUGGGUCAUGUGGCCAGCAUGACUAAACUGCUUCUAGCACAAUGGAACACCAUGACGGAAAGCAGAGCACACGGAAAUGCCAUUUACCUUCCCGCCAAAGUGGUACCUAUUUAUCUACUCACACUGGCAUGCUUUUGAACUGCUAGGCUGGCAGAAGCUGGGACUGAGCAACGGGAGCUCACUCCGUCGUGCAGAUUUGAAUCACCAACCUUCUAACUGGGAAGCCCAAGAGCCCACAGUGCCACCUGCUUCCUAUAGGAGGAAUUCCUAUAAGAGGCCCUGGCAAUCCCACUGAUGCCUGUGAGCACCAUGUUGGCAGCCCCUGCUAUAGGAGGAAGGGGCAAUUGACCUCAGCCCCUUCCACAGAAGGGAUCCUCUACUGGAUCUCAGUCUCAUCAGUGAACAGAAAGAGACCUUCCAUUCGGAGAUGCUAGGCAUUCUCUAAACUUGUUUUGUUUUUAAAGGAAGCAGUAUUUGAAAAGAACCCUCGCAUCACUUCCGACGCCAUGCACAUGUAAAACCAUUUGCCACAGCUGCACAGACGGAGCUUUGACUUUCGCAAGACGCAUGCGGCAGGCAGCCUUUUAUUAAUACGUCAUGUCAGCCAGGGAGAAGCGUGUGCACGAAACAUAUGCGUUAUAAAACAAACAAACAAGGAAGUGACUGCCGAGUCAAUAGCGCCACAGCAGAACAGGAGCUAUUGACUCGAUGGUGUUAUUAGAGUGCCAAAAAACGGAUAGCUUAACUACAGUGCAAAAAUCUGAAACAGAUGCUGCUGAGUAAAAAGCUGUAAAAUUUAAUUACUCAAGGCAGGCACGGAGGAGAAAGUGAGUGUGUUUAUGAGUAGUAGAUUAAUUUAAUCUUUCGGGGGUUGAAAUCGUUAUUACUUCAGGUUUCAUCAGAAGAAGGCAAUGCCUUUGUACAUUUCAGCAGCAGGGUUGGGAAUAAUAAUGCUCUCCCCUUCCCCAAGAGCAAAAUUGCAUGUACCAAUAAGUAUUUGUUUCUGGUAACAAAAAUAAUAAUGAUAAGAUGCCAGAGCUAGUUGGCCAGGCCAGUCAUGUCUCCCAAAUAAUCUCUUAAGUACCCUUUAUGCAUUUGAAGAGACUUGCAGAAGGUAUGUGACGGACGGGCUUCGAGAAAUGGCAGGGCACAUCAGGGCCUUUCUUCGCACUCACCACCCUGCCCCACUCCAGGCCUGUCUGAAUAAGUUACAGUUAUGCCAGUGUCAGAAGAGUGGUCCCACAGCUCUGCUCCCCUCCAAGCCAGCCAAUCCUGGUUGGUUGUGCAAUGGAAAAUGGCAGAACUCUGUGCACCCUGGGUUAUAUUAUCCAUACCAUCUUUUCUGCACAGAGAUGCUGAAUCUCAGUAAUAAAUUAUAAUAUUUUUUUUAUACCCCGCCCUUCCCUCAGGGCAGCUAAUAACAAAUUUAAAACACUUAAUUGAUGCAACAAAAAACAGCAUAAAAUACAGUAUAAAACGUAUUCAAUGCAUGCACAGUUCUAUCGAGUUUUGCCUCGGAUGAAUAUAGCUCAAGCAAAGAAACAGGACAAAUUGUGAGGAAAGCUCAUACAACCUUGAAGACUCAUAAGAUUUCUCAAGGCUUGCUGAAAAGUUGUCUCUGUGGGGCUGGUGGGAGCAGGGGUAACUUAUUUUCAUAGUGGUAAGUGUUGUACCUGAACAAGCAAACACACAAGUCAGGAAACUGCAGCAGCAGCGACUUCAUCCUGUUACUUGUUUAGAUUCUGUUCAUGGGGCAGAAAACCAGGAGCCCCUGAGACUCCAGAAAAUUCUGAUUUGGAUUGGCCAUGAAAGUGUUUCCUCCCUGAUUCUCUAGUCUGUGUGUGCGUGUGUGUGUGUGUUUAUGCACCUUUUUGAAUAGUGCAACCAAAUUGUCACUUUUUUGUGCAUUGUGCAGAACCCUGACCUACGUACACCUUGGGAGUAUUUGGUUUUUUUUCUUCUUCCCCGUCCCUCUUUUUGCUUGGCUUAUACCUAAAGGCCAAAGCAUUUACAUAUUACAUAUUACACCUGUGUAUAUAUUUGUCAGAAUCAUCAUAUUCUCACAAAAUCAGAUGGUCUUUUCAGCAUCAGUGAGCAACAUAGCAGUCGUACUGAUGUCUGUUUAGGAAUAAGGCCUAUUGCACUGAGUUAGGCUUAUACCCAAGUAGGAGGGAUUAAGAUUGAAGCCAAAAAAACUAAAUGAACCAUGAUGGAAACAAUUUUAAAUUAUAGCAAUGUGAUUUCCCAAAAGAUUAAAAAGAACUAUACCCCCCCCAACAAAAAAAUGGUGGACCUUGAGAGGAAUCAUUUUCAUAUGUUAUUUUUCCAUGUUGACCAUGCCCGUUAAAAAAAACAUCGGUUUUCUCACUUUACAGGUGUGUGUUUGCUAUGACUACCCCCGAAACUGUGAGUUUCACAGUCGCAUAACUUGUAAUUGUGAAAGGGAUGGGAGAGUCGGUGACAUUCAUUGCUCCCUGUCAAAUCAAAUUGGAUCUCUGUGUUUUUCACUUUUUUUUUCUUUUUAAUGAGCCGUAUUUACAUUUUAACAUGUUCCCGUAGAGCCUCAUUAUCAGGAGAUGUUGCAGAGCUUAGAAGCCGCAUGGUAAGUAACAAACUGCGUAAGACUAAAUUUGUGCAAAUGUGAAAGACGUACCGUUACAUUGUAAGUACAUUUUAAAAUAUAUUUGUCACUGCAUUUCUGUCGAUGCAGCUAAAGGACGGGAUUAGCUCC
rnacentral:lncRNA from 1 species